UACCUAGUGUCAUUCUAGCGGCAUGUCACAUGCGCCCGAAUUAUUUAGUUUUCAUCCGUGCGUUUCUCGCUUCAGUCGUAAGUUGGUUUACGAAACUUCGGUCUUCUCUUUGUCGAUUUCCACACUGUUCUCCACGUAGCUUUGGUCGCCGGUGGGGUCGACAGUCGAGCCAAGUGUCGAGGACUACCUGCUAGGGGUAUCGGUCGGGGGUGCCUCACAAAGCUGUGUUAAUGACAACGACUUUGUUUCUUUGCCUAAGGCAUUUCUUGCGAGGUUGUAAGAAGACCUGGUGUGGGAUGUUCCAGAUGAUCAAUUCAUGGUGGGAAGAUGUGGCUUUUCUUAGGAUCAAGACUCGGUUGUUAGCCUCUAUUUUGGUUGAAGCUUUUAAAGACUUUUCGACCCAACAAAAGGAAGAUAUUAUAGGUUUGGGGUUUAGGGCCUUGUUGGAGUUCCAGGUUACUGAGUGUCCUCCUCACCUUGUGCACUGGCUGUUUUCCAAUUUUGAUGGCCAAACCAAGACGUUUAACUUGGGUGGGGGGAGAUCGUUAUUGGUGGAGAAGUGUGAUGUGGAGUUAGUUCUGGGUUUUCCUCGGGGUCGGGUGGAUAUGGUUAAGUGGGCCAAGCUUGAGAUUAUUAACUUGUUGAGGUAUUGGAGGGGGUUAUUUAAGAAGGUGAGGCACAUGGUGACUACGACUGAGAUUUCCGUGAAGGUGGUGGAUCUGGUAGACGGUGGUUUGUGGUUUAAGUGGCAUUUCUCAAUGCUGGUUGCGACUACACUAGUAACUUGUAUGCGCAAUGGAUAUGCGAAUCAAAUGUAUUUCAACUAUUUCGACGAUGUCUCACGCAUCCGGGAGUUAAAUUGGUGCAAGCUUGUUGUCGAUGUACUAGUGGAGACAUAGGAUGUUUGGAUAUCUAGACGUCACAAGUGCUUUGUGGGACCUGUGAAGUUCGUGGUUGUGUGGUUUCUUUAUUUGUUAUCUUUAAUUUCUUCGUUCUUAUUUUGCAUUAUGUGAGGAUUUCGUGGUGUGGCAUUAAUUUUAUUUGUUGUUUUUGGCUUUGCAGUUGUUCUAUGUUGACUGUGUUUUGCAUUUUUGGCGUUUAAUACCAUAGAUGGUUCCUUCAUUUCGCGGUUGGACUUUGGAUUUACUUCGAGCGCGGGAGUUCUCCGAGAUCUGUGGUGGUGGUUUCGGGCUUGGAGUCAUUGAGCCCCAGAUUUCUGAUUCUGUUGGGAGAGAUGCAUGGCGUAGUGACUCAAUCUCAACUAUCUACUGAAAAUGAUAGUCAUUCGCCUCCCUGUGAAUAUGGUCUAAAGAUGUUUCCUUAGACGUUUGAAAUUCUGCUUGCUGAGAAGACCACUUGCAAGGUCUAUCCUUGAAUUGUCGCACAUGUUCACGAUGACACGAGAUCGAUAUGUGGAGGGGGG